rnacentral:pre_miRNA from 1 species
AAAAAAACAAAUUCUGGAUUUCCGUGUCCAACUUUAACUGUCCGUCUUAUAUAAAUUUUUUUUAUAAUUCGUAUUUUUAUUGUUGUUACAUGAUAAAACAUGAUUAAUAUUUUAUACGUGACUUGUCUUUUUAAUGUUGUUCAUAUUUUUUUCAAAUAAGACGGACGGCACGGAAACUAGGGUUUUUCUCUCU